UACGAAGGGUGCAAGCGUUACUCGGAAUUACUGGGCGUAAAGCGUGCGUAGGUGGUUCGUUAAGUCUGAUGUGAAAGCCCUGGGCUCAACCUGGGAAUGGCAUUGGAAACUGGCGACCUAGAGUGCGGUAGAGGGCAGUGGAAUUCCCCGGUGUAGCAGUGAAAUGCGUAGAGAUCGGGAGGAACAUCUGUGGCGAAGGCGACUGCCUGGACCAGCACUGACACUGAGGCACGAAAGCGUGGGGAGCAAACAGG
rnacentral:rRNA from 1 species